rnacentral:rRNA from 1 species
AGGAAAAGGAACCAACAGGGAUUGCCUCAGUAACGGCGAGUGAAGCGGCAAAAGCUCAAAUUUGAAACCCUCGGGAUUGUAAUUUGAAGAUUUGGCAUUGGAGAAAGCUAACCCAAGUUGCUUGGAAUAGUACGUCAUAGAGGGUGACAACCCCGUCUGGCUAACCGUUCUCCAUGUAUUGCCUUAUCAAAGAGUCGAGUUGUUUGGGAAUGCAGCUCAAAGUGGGUGGUAAACUCCAUCUAAAGCUAAAUACUGGUGAGAGACCGAUAGCGAACAAGUACUGUGAAGGAAAGGUGAAAAGAACUUUGAAAAGAGAGUGAAAUAGUAUGUGAAAUUGUUGAUAGGGAAGGAAAUGAGUGGAGAGUGGCCGAGGUUUCAGCCGCCCCUCGUGGGCGGUGUACUGCCGACGCCGAGUCAUCGAUAGCGAGACGAGGGUUACAAAUGGGAGCGCCUUCGGGCGUUCUCCCCUAACCCUCCACACUGCCACCGACGACAUAAUCCACCCAUUUCACCCGUCC